AAUCAACGCUGGCGGCGUGCCUAACACAUGCAAGUCGAACGAGAAAGUGGAGCAAUCCAUGAGUAAAGUGGCGCACGGGUGAGUAACACGUGACUAACCUACCCUUGAGUGGGGGAUAACCUAGGGAAACCUGGGCUAAUACCGCAUAAUACCUACGGGUCAAAGGAGCAAUUCGCUUUAGGAGGGGGUCGCGGCAGAUUAGUUAGUUGGCGGGGUAAUGGCCCACCAAGACGAUGANCUGUAUCCGGCCUGAGAGGGCGCACGGACACACUGGAACUGAAACACGGUCCAGACUCCUACGGGAGGCAGCAGUGGGGAAUUUUGCGCAAUGGGGGAAACCCUGACGCAGCAACGCCGCGUGGAGGAUGAAGACCCUUGGGUCGUAAACUCC
rnacentral:rRNA from 1 species